rnacentral:rRNA from 1 species
GACGAACGCUGGCGGCGUGCUUAACACAUGCAAGUCGAACGGGUCUGCCCUGUUUUUUGCGGGGUGGGUCAGUGGCGAACGGGUGAGUAACACGUGAGUAACCUGCCCCUCACUUCUGGAUAACCGCUUGAAAGGGUGGCUAAUACGGGGUGUUCUGGCUGUGCCGCAUGGUGUGUCUGGGAAAUAUUCACUUUUGCUGUUUUUUUGUGGGGUAUGGGCUCGCGGCCUAUCAGCUUGUUGGUGGGGUGAUGGCCUGCCAAGGCUUUGACGGGUAGCCGGCCUGAGAGGGUGGGCGGUCACACUGGGACUGAGAUACGGACCAGACUCCUGCGGGAGGCAGCAGUGGGGGGUAUUGCACAAUGGGCGGAAGCCUGAUGCAGCGACGUCGCGUGAGGGAUGGAGGCCUUCGGGUUGUGAACCUCUUUCGCCGGUGAAGAAGGUCCUGCUCUUUGUGGUGGGGUUGACGGAAGCCGGGUUAUGAAGCGCCGGCUAACUACGUG